GGCGUGCUUAACACAUGCAAGUCGAACGGAAAGGCCCUGCUUUUGUGGGGUGCUCGAGUGGCGAACGGGUGAGUAACACGUGAGUAACCUGCCCUUGACUUUGGGAUAACUUCAGGAAACUGGGGCUAAUACCGGAUAGGAGCUCCUGCUGCAUGGUGGGGGUUGGAAAGUUUCGGCGGUUGGGGAUGGACUCGCGACUUAUCAGCUUGUUGGUGGGGUAGUGGCUUACCAAGGCUUUGACGGGUAGCCGGCCUGAGAGGGUGACCGGCCACAUUGGGACUGAGAUACGGCCCAGACUCCUACGGGAGGCAGCAGUGGGGAAUAUUGCACAAUGGGCGGAAGCCUGAUGCAGCAACGCCGCGUGCGGGAUGACGGCCUUCGGGUUGUAAACCGCUUUCGCCUGUGACGAAGCGUGAGUGACGGUAAUGGGUAAAGAAGCACCGGCUAACUACGUGCCAGCAGCCGCGGUGAUACGUAGGGUGCGAGCGUUGUCCGGAUUUAUUGGGCGUAAAGGGCUCGUAGGUGGUUGAUCGCGUCGGAAGUGUAAUCUUGGGGCUUAACCCUGAGCGUGCUUUCGAUACGGGUUGACUUGAGGAAGGUAGGGGAGAAUGGAAUUCCUGGUGGAGCGGUGGAAUGCGCAGAUAUCAGGAGGAACACCAGUGGCGAAGGCGGUUCUCUGGGCCUUUCCUGACGCUGAGGAGCGAAAGCGUGGGGAGCGAACAGGCUUAGAUACCCUGGUAGUCCACGCUGUAAACGGUGGGUACUAGGUGUGGGGUCCAUUCCACGGGUUCCGUGCCGUAGCUAACGCUUUAAGUACCCCGCCUGGGGAGUACGGCCGCAAGGCUAAAACUCAAAGGAAUUGACGGGGCCCCGCACAAGCGGCGGAGCAUGCGGAUUAAUUCGAUGCAACGCGUAGAACCUUACCUGGGUUUGACAUGGAUCGGGAGUGCUCAGAGAUGGGUGUGCCUCUUUUGGGGUCGGUUCACAGGUGGUGCAUGCCUGUCGUCAGCUCGUGUCGUGAGAUGUUGGGUUAAGUCCCGCAACGAGCGCAACCCUUGUUCACUGUUGCCAGCACGUUAUGGUGGGGACUCAGUGGGGACCGCCGGGGUCAACUCGGAGGAAGGUGGGGAUGACGUCAAGUCCUCAUGCCCCUUAUGUCCAGGGCUUCACGCAUGCUACAAUGGCUGGUACAGAGAGUGGCGAGCCUGUGAGGGUGAGCGAAUCUCGGAAAGCCGGUCUCAGUUCGGAUUGGGGUCUGCAACUCGACCUCAUGAAGUCGGAGUCGCUAGUAAUCGCAGAUCAGCAACGCUGCGGUGAAUACGUUCCCGGGGCUUGUACACACCGCCCGUCAAGUCAUGAAAGUUGGUAACACCCGAAGCCGGUGGCCUAACCGUUGUGGGGGAGCCGUCGAAGGUGGGACUGGUGAUUAGGACUAAGUCAUAA
rnacentral:rRNA from 1 species